AGAGCCAGCCAGCUGAGAGACAUAUUCCACUCCUGCCUGGUCACCGACUUGAUAAUAUUCUCCCAACAGAGAUGACACCUUGAUUGUGAAGCCUGGUAAGCCUGCAGGAAGCCCCAGCCCAGGGUAGGAGGCGAGUAUCUUGAUGCUGUGCCUCAUCGAAGAGAACCAGGAUGCAGACCAGAAAAUGAGGCUCAGAGCGGCAGUGACUUACCAAAGAUCACACAUCUGGG